AGGGCCAUACCUGCUCCAGGCCAGACACAUCAUUGGGCAACAGCACCAACAUGCUCAGCUCCCCGCUGGCGUAUGGAAGCUCCAGAACCUUCAUUUGAUCUGCAGCCACCUCUGCCACUUUGAAGGAAUUAAUGAGCUGUCUUGCCUCUUCUGUAGCUGUUUUGAAGUCAACUUCUUCCACCUCUGAGUUGUAGAAUUUCUUUGCACACUUUAAGUAUUCCUUGCGCUGGUGGUGGUGGUGCUUCUCCAGGGUAGAGUCACAGGGGCCUUUGUGGAGAAUCUUGGUGAAGUCAGGUCACAGUACAACUCACCUGAAGAACGGGCAUCUUCCUGCUCUGCUUUGGAGUCUCCCAGCUGCAAGUCUGACUGCUGUACCCUGGCUCCAGGAGCUGAACCCCUUUCACAGUCUGACUGCUGUCCCCCAGCAGCACGUGCCCAAGAAUGCACUGUGGUGCCCAGAGCAUCCUGGUCCACACUGUCACUUCUUGUGGUGCAAGAUGUGCAACCUGCCUUCUUUCCUUUUUAACAAAUAGACCAUGGACAGGGCUGCAAUGAUACUCAAGGGGGAAUAGAAGAUAUUGUCAUUGGGAUGGUGGACUUUCAUCUCUUUGAAUACAUCAAAACAAAAUUCUGCAUUUGCUGCAGUGAUGGACUCCAUUGUGAAAUGGCUGUUGUCUAAAACAAAUGAAAAGUUAAGAUGGUGAAAUAUAUUAAUUGUAAUGCAAGAAACUCUCAAAUUGAACCACUCAUCUGGGUGAUAUAAGAAAAAAGAAACUGUUGAAGAUAAUGCAGAACUGCGGUAUGCUGGGAUCACCUGAACACACUGCAUUCAUUAAUUUCGUUCAGAGGAUAUCAUCCAUAAACCCUGCAACUGAGCUUUGGUAGCAUCCUCUUGAAUUUAAACAAAUUCAAUUUUGCCUUUUAAUUCUAAAUGGAAGGUUAAAGAGAAGGAGGAAGAAGACAGACUUUCAUAAUAUAUCCCCAGCUUUUCAAUGUGGAAGAGUUAGCAAACAAAACUGUAGUUUAUACAAAAAAUACUUCAACUUUAUGCAUGGUAGAAUGUGAAACAGUAAAAUAAUGCAGAACACAUAUGUGAAGUUGAGAUGAGGUUUCAGCAGAAGACAUGCUUUAAUCAUAUGUUUCUUCAAUGGAUAUUUUAGGUCAUAAACAUAAACAUCAAUCUUUUCGUAAAUUUUGUAAGAGACGGGUAUUUUUAAACUGCAUAUUAGAACUUAAAUCAUAAAAGAAAGGCUUACCUU